rnacentral:rRNA from 1 species
CAGUCGCCGCGGUAAUACGUAGGGUGCAAGCGUUAAUCGGAAUUACUGGGCGUAAAGCGUGCGCAGGCGGUUUGUUAAGACAGAUGUGAAAUCCCCGGGCUCAACCUGGGAACUGCAUUUGUGACUGGCAAGCUAGAGUCUGGCAGAGGGGGGUGGAAUUCCGCGUGUAGCAGUGAAAUGCGUAGAUAUGCGGAGGAACACCGAUGGCGAAGGCAGCCCCCUGGGCCAACACUGACGCUCAUGCACGAAAGCGUGGGGAGCAAACAGGAUUAGAGACCCCAGUAGUCCCUGUCUCUUAUAC